UUCCUCACUGUCGCUAGGAGGUCUUCGUUCCUUGCCACGUCCUAUCCGGACGUCCUUGUGGUGUGACUUCUCCCAGGAUGUGGUCCAGGAAAGCGUGAGCGACGAACAAGACACAGCGCCUAGGCUUGGUUUCUGCCUAGGACAUCUUAAACCAGGAACACAGUUUGCAUGGACAAGAACGCCCGAGUAAAUCAACGGGGAUGAAUGAAUGAGUGCUGCAUGGUUCGUCAUGGCGGAGAAGGACCCCACUCCACAGAUGUCUGGUUCACAACGCGCCAGUCGCUCGCAGCCACCACACGGGUGGCCCUCGUCACCCUCGGAGGGUCCUCUCCUGGCCUCCUGAUGUCCUUCCAUCCUGCCUGCCUCCGCGGAGGAGCAGGAGCUGUUCCAGAUGAGGGUGCCAGCCCAGACACCGGGGCUGGGAGGAGGCUGUGCUGGCCCCGGAGAAGGACGAACCAGGCCCUUGGCUCUGCAGGCCUUUGGGAUCCCGCCACGCUGGUCCCGUCUCUGUGACAUCCCGGAGAGCCACUUCCCGGACAGGGACGGAGACUCCUCAAAGAGAUGGGCCGCCGCCUGCCGGGCGUGUGCAGGAGAGCCGCCUCCAGGCUGGGCAGGGCCAGGGCCACCUUCAGCAGCACAGCGAGCCCCGAGCCAGCAGCCUUCGAGGGGCCCUCGGCAUCCCGCGGUCCAGGUCUCUGCCUGAACUCUUCCCUGCAGCCUUUGGGGCCAAAGGAAGCAAAACAACUUUUGGAGCAAGGAAAUAAAAAGGCG